GCACCCAAACCCUGAGUUCAAGCCCCAGUACUGGAACAUGAAAACACACACUCACACACACACACACACACACACACACACUCACACACGCCAACUAUCAGAAAGCUCUUGGCACUGCCCAUCCCUUCCUGGGCUAGACGGAGCCUCCAGAGCAGGACCUGCCUGGCUAAGGCCGCCUCCUUCAUUCCAGUGGCCUCCUCCUGCCCCUCCAGAGUCCAAGUGUUGUGAAGCCCCGCAUGGUGAGGAGGGGGCCACAGAUGUCCUGGCUGCUGCUGAGCUCCUUUCUUUACCCCACAGGGCUUUUUCUAAGCCAGGCAUGUAGUUUAUUCUUCUCCUAAACCCUUCGAUAGGGUGCAGGGCCCAGAGUUGCCAUAGAAACACCUAUUAACUCCUCCUCACCCCGAAGGCUGUGCUGGUCCCCUGGGCUUUGGGGAAGAAAGGAGAAAAAAAGACACCUGUGGAUAAGGAGACAGGAGAGGUUAGGCUGGGGAAGGGGAGGGGGUGGGGGGGGAGUAGAGAGAGUCAAGCCGGGCAUUCUGUGCCCUUCCUGGCAACACAGCACCCAGCCAGGAAGAGAAAACCACCGGGAAGGUUCUGGAAUAGGAAAGUGGUGGGUUGUCCUGUGUACCUUGAAGUGAGAUCCAGUG